rnacentral:lncRNA from 1 species
CUGCUCCUCCUGCGCCGGCAAGGUCGUCUCCGGCACCGUCGACCAGUCCGACCAGAGCUUCCUCGACGACGCCCAGGUCGAAGGCGGCUGGGUGCUCACCUGCGCCGCCUACCCCACCUCCGACGUCGUCAUCGAGACGCACAAGGAGGAGGACCUCGUCGGCUAAUAAGCAGCCGCAUGCCAUGCACACCACACACCACACGAUCUGUAUGGGCCAAGCAAGCUAGCUAGCUACCAUGCCAUGCAUCCAUCCAUGACAGCAGCACAGCUCCAUGCAUCAUCAUCUGUUAUACUACUCUCUUAUUUAUAAUCCAAUUUUACUUCGGAUGCAUGAUAUGAUAUAUGAGUUUCACUAUGCUCAAGCAAAUCAAAUAAUAAUGUUUUUUUUUCUCUCCUCUUCAUUCAGUUUUAUUUGUGCUAGCUACUAUAUAUAUACUACAUAUACUUAACUGAACUUACCAAAAUUCAGUCUCUAAUCCCUGAACCUCCUAUACUCAUACGAGUUAUAAUAACACACUGUUAGCUAGCAGACUAGAUCGUAGAGGAUGAAUUUGGGAAGAACAAAUAGGUAGGAAGCAUAACAAUGCAAGGUAGGAGAGAACAGAGGAUAGUAUUGUUCAGCUCUCAAUCUCCCUUUAUACAUAGCAUUGCCUUAGCGUGAACCCACAGGCGCAGCUAUGUCUAGCCUAUAUAUGGUUCACGCCCACUCGGGACCAUGUUCUUCGCGCGCCUGGCUCAGAUGUCUGGUUCGGGUGCGCCUAGUUCACUGGUCACCGUGUCGCGCUCUGGUUCAGCCUUAUGUACGUGUUGGCCCUUCCACACACUUGGAGUUCAAUUUCUAGAAAAAUCGAAGCGCAUGGAUGUGAUCAUAUGAGACACAAAUCUAUAUAUGACUUCAUCCUUCAAUGAACAGUCAUGACUCAUGGCCUCCACACGCACAAUAACCAAUCAUCAUCAGUGGCCAUCAAUUGGUUUCCACAUUUUAUUUUCCAUGAGUGUGAGUCACUACUUUUGCUCUCAGUAAGUAAUUAAAUAGAAUGUGAAUUUCCGCCCCAUUAAUUCCCGUGAUGAUGAUGUUGAGGGCCGGUAAAAUUCAUGGCCAAAAUUGUUGAGGACGUACGUGAUCAAACAAGGAGAGGUUGGAGUUGGCCCCGCCAAGAAGAUAAGCCUACACGCUGGACUCACGCCAUCCCUUCGUUUCCAUCUCAUCUCUCUAUCUAACUCCAGCAGCCAGCCGCUAGUAGCUCGUCCAAAGCAAGCAGGCACACACACACACACACACACACGCUCCAGCCUCUCCUCGGCACCCACAACGACAUACAAUGGCCACCGUCCUGAGCAGCCUCCGCGCGCCGGCGGCCUUCUCCGUCCUCCGCGUUGCGCCGGCGCCGGCGCCCCCCGCCACCGUCGCGCUGCCGGCGACCGUGGCCCGCGGCGCCAGGCUGCGGGCGCAGGCCACCUACACCGUGAAGCUGGUCACGCCUGAGGGGGAGGUGGAGCUGAAGGUGCCCGACGACGUGUACAUCCUGGACCAGGCCGAGGAGGAAGGCAUCGAGCUGCCCUACUCCUGCCGCGCGGGCUCCUGCUCCUCCUGCGCCGGCAAGGUCGUCGCCGGCACCGUCGACCAGUCCGACCAGAGCUUCCUCGACGACGACCAGAUCGCCAGCGGCUGGGUGCUCACCUGCGCCGCCUACCCCACCUCCGACGUCGUCAUCGCCACGCACUUGGAGGACGAGCUCACCGCCGGCUCCUAAUCAUGCAUGCUUAUCUCUGUUCGUUAUUAGCUUCUUAUUCUUUACGCUCGUUAC